GUCAGUGCCCUUACACCUGACUCCCAAAGUGCUGGGUCACAGCUGUGAAACCCCAGUUCGAGUCUGCUGUGUCCAAGCCCCAACCCCUCUCUCUCCCUGGGAAAGGCUCUCCUGUGUAUUCUUUAGAAAGGAGCUGGCUAGCACACAGGAAAGUCACUGGACACUGAGUCCAGGCUCUGUGAAGCAAAGGAGAGAUACCGUUGUCCACAAACCUGCUCCUGAGCCACACCGUGGCACAAGGGUUGGCUAGGAAGCCAUUGGAUGAUAACCAGGAAGAGUGUAAUAGAGGUCUUAAAGCAACUCUUCAGGGGCUACAGAGGACACAGCCACAUAAAGCUAACAGACAGGAGAGCCUCCAUACUCCGGUGAUCUCCUCAGGACCUUUUGUGAGGACCACAGCAGGCUCCAUACAGACUCAGAGUUUAAAGUGGGUGGAGGGUCCAACUGACUUUCAGCCUAGGGCAAAGCGGGCACAGACUCCUGUGGGUCCUGCUCUUACCAGCGUUCCAAGAUCACAUCUGAAGCUGAUGACGCGGAUCGUGUUUCCAUGGCAGAGGCGCCGUAUGUUCCAGAAGCUUCCUGAACUACAGACCACGGGGAAUGGCAGAACUUCAGGAGCUCUAGAAGAAACAAGGGUCAUCAGCCCAUGGACAGCACCUAAUUGCUCCGAUCACCAGGAUCCAUUCUGCUAUUCCGGACAACGUGAAGGAACUAGACGGUUAACCCAGAGUCACAUCACCCGGGGGGUUUCAGGACUGGAGAGGUGGCCUGCGCCCCCACCCCCCCACCCCGACUCAGGGCUGGGCUUCCCGCGCAUCCAGUCCCAGGUCUUGUCCUGAUUUCCCGGCUGAAAAUCCUCACCGUGGAAGGCUGAACCGAGCCACGAACACAUGAGGAGCCCCGGUUCCCGCCUCAGACCUGCAACUAACGACAGCUUGCUCGCGCCUAACUACAUUUCCCAGAGUUCUCAGCGGCAAGCCCGUUAGCGGGGCUCGCGACAGAAAAUUCAUUGGCUCCGAGGUGGUGGUGGCCGGUGACCAGCAAGGUGAAUACGCAGAUCUGUCGCUAACCCUCACAGCUUUCACCCUGUCCACGCGCUCGCCACCACCUGAUGCUCACUUCUGGUGUGGGAGGAGGCAGAGCAAGACAAGCCGUUGCCUGGAAAGGAACCAGAACUACAACUCCCAGAAUGCUUCGGCAUGGACAGCCUCCUGCUUCUCCGAGUAGCCCUAGUAACCGUUGUAGUUGCCACAGAGACUAUUCUCAGAUUAUUUGGGCUCUGCAAGCCAGCGAGCGAAGGAGCAGAAGCCAGAUUAGGGGAACGAUAAAGGACAAAAGACGAUAUUUGACUUAAACAAUGCUGACGAAUACAAUGCCAUUUUUUCUUCCCACGGAUGCUCAGGGCCAGAGCAAAGGGCGAACAGCCUUCUAGGAAAUGCAAAGAGAAGCUGCCACAGGAGCUAUGGGAAACGUAGUCCAUUGAUUACUAGUCACGCCUUUAAGGAGAAUUCAAACACAGUAUUUGCCUUAUAAGUACUUAAAUAGUAUUCAGAAAGUCCCUUCUUUAUAUUUACCCUCGGAGCCGUUUCAGACACUGCAUUUCCUAAGUGGAGCUUGUACCUGGCUAGCCUGUCUUCAGCCAUCUUCCUUUAAGGUUUGUUGUACACAAAAGUAGACCAAAGGAACCUGUGGCUAUUACGAUUAAUAUAUACUUCAUAAAUGUGAUGGUUUGUAUAUUCUUGGGCCAGGGAGUGGUACCAUUUGGAGGUGUGACCUGGUUGGAGUAGGUGUGCCUCUGUGGGUGUGGGUUUAAGAUUCUCACCCUAGUUGCCUAGGAGU
ensembl:lncRNA